rnacentral:rRNA from 1 species
GAUGAACGCUGGCGGCGUGCCUAAUACAUGCAAGUCGAGCGAACAGACGAGGAGCUUGCUCCUCUGACGUUAGCGGCGGACGGGUGAGUAACACGUGGAUAACCUACCUAUAAGACUGGGAUAACUUCGGGAAACCGGAGCUAAUACCGGAUAAUAUAUUGAACCGCAUGGUUCAAUAGUGAAAGACGGUUUUGCUGUCACUUAUAGAUGGAUCCGCGCCGCAUUAGCUAGUUGGUAAGGUAACGGCUUACCAAGGCGACGAUGCGUAGCCGACCUGAGAGGGUGAGGGGCAACAGUGGAACGAAAACACGGCCCAGCCCCAGAGGGGAGGAACAAAGGGGGAUUCUUCCAAAAGGGGAAAAGGCCGGAGGGAGAAACGCCGCGGGAGUAAGAAAGGUCUUCGGAUAGAAAAACUUUGUUAUGAGGGAAAAAAAAAGGUGAAAAAAAAAAGGCACGUCUGAAGGAAACAUAAUAAGAAGAACAGGAAAAACAAGGGC